CUGAACUCAAAGCAUUAAGACUUCAUUCUGCAAUUUAUCCAAUCACUCUAACGAUUCUGCCAAUACAGCUCAAAAAUAUAACAGCAUGUGAUUUUGUAUGCCUAAACAAGAGAGUAUAUGAUUCGAAUAUGCUAGGCCAGGCGACAGUGAAAGGAGACUCGAAACUGCAAUAGUCCAAGUGAGACACCGUCACCACUAUUGCCAUAAUCUUUGCUUAUUUGAUCCUGCAUGAACCAAAGUUCCAAUCCCGUUUCUUGUAACGGCAGAAAUAUUGUUUCCAGUUGUCUUUUCUCGUAUUGAAUCAUUAUUCUGUUAAAUGUAAAAAGCAGAGGUCACCCGAUGUGACGGCGUAAUUGUGAUUGGUAAGAAUUUGGGAUAAAUGUUGCAUGUGGCAAGUUGAGAAGGCUGAUCGAAAAAAAAAAAAAGGUGCAUGCUGCAUUGUUAUUACCAGGCACAUUGAAAGAAAUUGACGCAAGAUGAUUUUACUCAACUGUAACUGUUAUGAAAUUUAUCACAACUGCUACGAAUUAAAAGUAAAUAAAUAUGUUAGAAAGUUUUGA
rnacentral:lncRNA from 1 species